rnacentral:lncRNA from 1 species
AGUCUAUUGUGCUGGCCUGGCUUUGGCUGACUGGCUCUGACCGCGCUGCCGCCAGUCCCUGCGCACAUCAGUCCACCUGCCGUCCAUCAGCCCGAGCAGGUCCGCCCGCCGUGCAGUCCAUCUCCCCAUUCCACGCGUGGAAGUCAGAGUGCAUUAUGUUUCUCACCAGCCGCGCUGCGUACUGAGGUCUGGCGGGCGGGGAGUUGCAGCCACAGCGUGUCCGCAGGUUCGAGCCCAGGGCUAAAGUACCAGCGUGGAAACUUACCUGGGACCACAAGUUGGUGCUGAAAGUCAGUAUUUUUUUCUCUUUAUUUAUUUUUUAUUUUCUGAGACAGGGUCUCGCUCUGUCGCCCAGGCUGGAGUGCAAUGGCGCGAUCUCGGCUCACUGCAACCUCCGCCUCCCGGCUUCAAGCGAUUCUCCUGCCUCAGCCUCCCGAGUAGCUGGGAUUAUGCCCGGUAAUUUUUGUUUCUUUAGAAGAGACAAGGUUUCUCCAUGUUGGCCAGUUUUGCGCCCUGCCAGUUUUCUCUUUAAAAGAACUAAGUACAGGCCGGGAGCGGUGGCUCACUCCUGUAAUCCCAACACUUUGGGAGGCCGAGGCAGGUGGAUCACUUGAGGCGAGGAGUCCAAGACCAGCCUGGCCAACAUGGUGAAACCUUUCCUUUUCUGUAAGAGGAAAAAGAAUUCUGGCUGGGUGCAGUGGCUCAUGCCUGUAAUCCCAGCACUUUGGAAGGCCGAGGUGGGCGGAUCACCUGAGGUCGGGAAUUUGAGACCAGCCUGACCGACAUGGAGAAACCCCGUCUCUACUAAAAAUACAAAAGUAGACGGGCGUGGUGGCGCAUGCCUGUAAUCCUAGCUACUCCAGAGGCUGAGGCAGGAGAAUCACUUGAACCCGGGAGGCGGAGGUUGCGGUGAGCCGAGAUCGCGCCAUUUCCAGCCUGGGCAACAAGAGCGAAACUCCGUCUCAAAAAAAAAAAAAAAAAAAAAAAAAGACUUCUAAGGUAUGCUUUGUUAUGUCAACUAAAGAAAAAAAAAAACAAGCUUUUAAAUAUUUAAAGUUAGUUCUAUUCAGAAGUCUUACCAAGAAUUGCAACCCGGGAGAGCCUUUCAGGGAGUUUCUGCUAGACUGCUCCAAAGCAGUGUUUCCGACAGUUUAUACACUGGUGGUGGCGGCUCUCCAUGUGCUCAGAAAUUACAUCAAAUGUGCUCAGAAGUUACAUUAGAGCAUAAAUCUCAUCAAGGUUUGGGUGCAAGAGUACAUCUGUUUAUAGGUCACAGAAGCAUAAUCAUUAAUCCUGUCAGACAGUAUCUUAAGUACAGGAAGAGGCAAGGGCUAGGAUCAUUGCAUUUUUUACCAUGUUGGCCAGGCUGAUAUCAAACUCCUGGCCUCAAGCAAUCCACCCACCUCAGCCUCCCAAAGUGCUAGGAUUACAGGGGUGAGCCACCACACCUUACCCAAAAACUACUCUUAUACUUAAAAUAAAACUAUCUUUAUAAAAAUCAUGCCAGAUGCCAUGACCACAGGCUCUCACACCACACCCAGCUAAUUUUUUUUUAUUUUUUGUGGAGACGGGGGUCUCAUUAUGUUGCCCAGGCUGAUCUUAAACUCCUGAGCUCAAGUGAUCCUCCUACCUCAGCCUCCCAAAGUGCUGGGAUUACAGUCAUGAGCCACCGUGCCAGGCUGACUUUAUUUCUUAUAAAGGGUUACAACCUGCAGGCUGGGAGGUGGGCUUCUGGUCAAAACCAGAGACAGACCCUUAAAAAGAGGCAGGAGCUUUAUGUCGAAUGGCUUGGCUAAACAUACAUAUUCGGCCGGGCACGGUGGCUCACACCUGUAAUCCCAAACUUUGGGAGGCCGAGGUGGGCGGAUCACAAGGUCAGGAGAUUGAGACCAUCCUGGCUAACAUGGUGAAACCCCGUCUCUACUAAAAAUACAAAAAAUCUGCCAGGCAUGAUGGCAUGUGCCUAUAAUCCCAGCUACUCGGGAAGCUGAGGCAGAAGAAUCGCUUGAACCUGGGAGGCGGAGGUUGCAGUGAGCCGAGAUCGCGCCACUGCACUCCAGCCUGGGUGACAGAGCGAGACUCUGUCUCAAAAAAGAAAAAACAAAAACAAAAAAUACCAUAUUCAACAGGUUACAGGAAGAGCUAUAGAUACUCAUGAAGGGGGUCCUAAUGCAAGUAUACUGAAUAAACAUGUGUGUUGUAUAUGACCCAUGUUCACUUUGGGGUGGAGACUUAACAUUGAAAUACAUUACAGGCCGGGUGCGGUGGCUCACGCCUAUAAUCUCAGCACUUUGGGAAGCCGAGGUGGGUGGCUCACGAGGUCAGAAGAUCAAGACCAUCCUGGCCAACACAGUAAAACCCCGUCUCUACUAAAAAUACAAAAAUUAGCUGGGCGUGGUGGCGUAUGCCUGUAGUCCCAGCUACUCAGGAGGGUGAGGAAGGAGAAUCACUUGAAACCGGGAAGCGGAGGUUGCAGUGAGCCAAGAUCGCACCACUGCACUCCAGCCUGGGCUACAGAGGGAGACUCCAUCUCAAAAAAAAAAAAAAAAAAGAAAAGAAAUACAAUUAGCACCAUAUGUCAAAAUGAAGGAUACAAAAGCACUCAGUGCACAGGUUCCAUAAACCAACUGAAGCCAGUCCCUGGUCAGUGGUCUCUUAUUAGGAAAAAGUCACCAAAAUCCAUCUCUUGUGCAAUCAAAGCUAUAGUUAUGGCUUGUGGGGUCAGUGUCUGGUGAUGGAUGAACUGCAAUUGUUUCUAUAUUGCUUAUCUCAAGGCCAGUGCUUGUUUAGCUGCUGGAGAAAAAGAAAAACCUUGCAGCAGUUAGAACAUAGUUUAUUCUUUGGUGAACGGCUUAACUCUUGCCUGGCAUGGCCUUAAUGUCUUGUUUAUACUUUGGUAUCUUAUUGCUACAAAGGGUUCAUUCUCUCAGUCUUAUGAUCUCUAUUUUUUUCUUUCUUUUUUGAGACAGAGUCUCAUUCUGUCACCCAGGCUGGAGUGCAGUGGCAGGAUCUCUGCUCACUGCAACCUCCAUCUCCCAGGUUCAAGCAAUUCUCCUGCCUCGGCCUCCCGAGUAGCUGGAACUGCAGGCACAUGCCAACAUCGCUAAUUUUUGACAGAGUCUCAUUCUGUCACCCAGGCUGAAGUGCAGUGGCGUGAUCUUGGCUCACUGCAACCUCAGCCUCCUGGAUUCAAGCAAUUCUCCUGCCUCAGCCUUCCAAGUAGCUGGGACGCCACACGCCACCAUGCCCUGGCUCAAGUGAUCCUUCUACCUCAGGCUCCUGAGUAGCUGGGAACACAGGUGCACACCAUCAUACCCAGCUAACUUUUAUAUUUUUUGUAGAGACAGGAUUUCACUAUGUGGCCCAGGCUGGUCUCAAACUCCAGGCUCAAGUGAGCCUCCUGCCUUGGCCUCCCAAAGUGCUGGGACUACAGAUGUGAGCCACCGCCCCUGGACGUGAUCUCUUUUUUUUUUUUUUUUGAGAUGGAGUCUCGCUCUGUUGCCAGGCUGGAGUGCAGUGGCAUGAUCUUGGCUCACUGCAACAUCCGCCUCCUGGGUUCAAGCGAUUCUCCUGCCUCAGGCUCCCAAGUAGCUGGGACUAAGGCAUGUGCCACCACACCCAGCUAAUUUUUGUAGUUUUAGUAGAGAUGGGAUUUCACCAUGUUGGCCAGGAUGGUCUCGAUCUCUUGACCUCGUGAUCUGCCAAAGUGCUGGGAUUACAGGCAUGAGCUACCACGCCCGACCUUUUUUAUUUUUGAGACCGAGUUUCGCUCUUGUUGCCCAGGUUGGAGUGCAAUGGCGCAAUCUUAUCAGCAACCUCUGCCUCCCGGGUUCAAGCGAUGCUCAUGCCUCAGUCUCCCGAGUAGCUGGGACUACAGGCAUGUGCCAUCACGCCUAGCUAAUUUUGUAUUUUUAGUAGAGAUGGGGUUUCUCCAUGUUAGUCAGGCUGGUCUCAAACUCCCAACCUCAGGUGAUCCACCCACCUUGGCCUCCCAAAGUGCUGGGAUUACAGGUGUGAGCCACCGCACCCGGCCUGCCUGCUUCCUUUCCUUCCUUCCUUCCUUCCCUCCCUCCUUCCUUUCCUUCCUUCCUUCCUCCCUUCCUUUCUCUCUCUUUCUUUUUUUUUUUUGAGAGGGUCUGGCUUUCUGUCACUCAGGCUGGAAUGCAGUGGUGUGAUCAUGGCUCACUGCAGCCUCAACCUUCCAGCUCAAGCCAUCUUCCCACUCCAGCCUCCUGAGUAGCUGGAACUAUAUAGGCAUGCACCAUCACACCCAGCUAAUUUUUAAAAACAUUUUUCUAGAGAUGGGGUCUCACUAUAUUCCCCAGUCUGGUCUUGAACUCCUAGGCUCAAGUGAUCCUCCCACCUCAGCCUCCCAAAUGAAAUAUUCCUAAACCCAGUCACCUAGCCUCCCUACCUAUACCCACUGCUACCCUGGGCUAAGAAGGGAAGGCCAUUGAAGUAGGAGACAACUAGGAAGUCUGAUGCUGGUUGGGAACGAUGCGUUUCAAGGGGUUGGUCAAAACAGGAAAUAUUACUAAAAGGUUAAGUGCAAGCAGUGAUCAUUGCAAUAAUUUUGCAACAGUGUUUGGUGACUCAUUGAUUCUCUGGAAUUUACUUGGUAUAUAGAGUGAGGUAAGGUCAAAAUAUCCUCUCUCCCCCUAAAAGGCAAACUAAAUUUUGUAACACCGUUUCUUGAUGAGGCCCUGUUUCCCUACCCAUCUCUGUUGUUCCCUCUAUCAUCCCAUAGAUUCUCAAACUUGUACCAGGUCCAUGCAGGCUGUGUUCUGUAGGGAGGGCUCUGGCACUCAACUUACCCUUCUUACUCUGUUUGAUACAUUCACCUAUUUAUUCUUCUAGAUGUUUCUU